CCUUUCCCUACGGGAGGCAGCAGUGGGGAAUCUUACACAAUGGACGAAAGCCUGAUCCAGCAAAGCCGCCGAGCAAGAAGGCGCUCCGCUGGUAAAGCUCUCUUUCGGGAGGAAAAAUACUGCUACCCCCCGACAAGACGGUACACAGAAAGCAAGCUACUCG
rnacentral:rRNA from 1 species